rnacentral:lncRNA from 1 species
AUGAAGAACUUUGGGGCAUUUUCUGCUAUGGCCCGAUUUAAAGACUUCACAACUCUAAACAUUGUCUUCAAUGGACUGGAAGUUCUCCAUCUACUUACUGCAGAGCAGAAAGCAGAGAUUCUUCUACACCCUGAAAUUGCAAAUCUGGAUAACAGUAGCCUCAGCAUGAUCUUUGAGAGCCUGUUAAACCCUUUCUUAGGAAAUCAGCUUCAGAAUGGCUCAAUAUCUAUGCAUAAUAUGACCACACCGGCAUCCAUGUACCAUAUGACUACACUGGGACCCAUGACAACUCAACAAAACAGUUUGAAACAGACCUUUAAUGGGUUCCUGAAAUUCCUGAAACCACUGGGAAGUUUUGUCAAGGAAUUUGUGUCUCUUACUAAGGGAAAUUUGACAGCCAUGAAGAGCACCACACUAACCCAAGCUCUCCUGAACUGGACCUUAUCGGAACUUGCUGGGCACUUCGCUGAAAACGUGUCAGCUGGGAAUGACAUUUUGCCCACCUCAGCUGUAUUAAUAGACAACUUUGACAUAACAAACAUUAAUGACUGGUUCCAACAUGUAGUGGUACCUGUGCUAAAACGAUUCCUACCUGUAAAUCAAACAGAAAUCCCUAACAAUCUGACUGCCGUUUUCCACCACCUCUUCUCUUUAAAUAAUGACAUUGAUCCCCAAGUCUCUGGUCCCCCAGAUGUUUGUACUAUUACGCUGAAAGAUUCACAGGAAACCAUCUGCUCAAUGCCCAAUGCUCUUGCAAAUUUGACUCGCAUGUUAAGAUGUAUCACUCAUGCUGAUCUGAGCCUCACAGAAGAAAAUAUAAUUGCGUUACUUACUGAACUCUCGGCGGUCCUUAACUCAAUGAUACAAGACUAUUCCUCACUGAAUUUCAACAGUGCCGAGCCCCACAUUGUAGAUGUCUUUGGAUGGCUCCAGACAGACAGCUUCACUGAAGAAAACCUUCAAGACGUCUCCUUCAUUAGACUCUGGUUCCAGAUCAAGCUCAAGCCGCUUUUACCAUCAGUAUCUAACGAGUUCCUUCUCUGUCUCAGCACCAAGAACUUCACCUGUGAAACUUUUCAAGCCCUGUAUGUAUGCACAGAUAUACACUGUCUUGCACAGCUUGGGACUAAUUGA